rnacentral:rRNA from 1 species
AAAAUGACUCUCGGCAAUGGAUAUCUCGGCUCUCGCAUCGAUGAAGAACGCAGCGAAAUGCGAUACCUGGUGUGAAUUGCAGAAUCCCGUGAAUCAUCGAGUCUUUGAACGCAAGUUGCGCCCGAGGCCUUUYGGCCGAGGGCMCGCCUGCCUGGGCGUCACG